UACAGAGGUCUCAAGCGUUGUUCGGAUUCAUUGGGCGUAAAGGGUGCGUAGGCGGCGCGGUAAGUCGGGUGUGAAAUCUCGGAGCUUAACUCCGAAACUGCAUUCGAUACUGCCGUGCUUGAGGACUGGAGAGGAGACUGGAAUUUACGGUGUAGCGGUGAAAUGCGUAGAUAUCGUAAGGAAGACCAGUGGCGAAGGCCGGUCUCUGGACAGUUCCUGACGCUGAGACGCGAAAGCGUGGGGAGCAAACAGG
rnacentral:rRNA from 1 species